rnacentral:antisense_RNA from 1 species
GAAGCUUGUAUUUCUUUUUUCUUCAUUUCUAUUUGAUUUUCCAUAUUUUUUUCUCCUGGAUUUUCAAAUAGGGCAACGGAUGCAAGAACUGUUUCAAAAUCUUUAGAAAAAAGCUUUAGAACAGGCGUUAAAAUAAUCGCAAUUAAUAGCAAGCCGGUCACAAUCUUUGUGUAUUUUUGGAGAUUCGAGUUGGGGAGAAGCAUAUCGAUGACCGUAGCCAAUAAGAUAAAGAGAAUGAUAUUU